UGCGGGGAGGGGUUGGUCAGGGAGAGGGAGAAGGAGAUACAAUACAGUUCUGAAAACUGGAAGGCCAUUUCAGCCAGAUCCUAGAAGCAGUCUCUGUAGUUGGGUACAAUUAGUUAAACUAUGCUAAACUGCUAACAAUCUUAAUUAAUUUCUUUUAAGCUUGUGCAACAUUUAUGUAACAGGAAACUCGGGUGUGGCAAGUGGGUGUACACCCUGCUCCUGACUCUGCCUUACUUACAGAAAUGCUGUAAUAGCUGAACAGGAAUAAGGAUGGGCUGUGGGAAAUUAGUGAUAAGAAAAUAUAAACAAACUAAAAGGAGAUUAAGACAGUUUGCUUUUAAAGCCAUAAAGAAAACAUUCACAAGGCAGAGAACUUUGAGUCCUGGAGAUGAACAGAAGAGGAGUUAAUGCAGUAACAUUCUUUCAAUUUGGAAAACUUUGUUCAGUAUGAACACAAGCUAAAGGAACCCCAGGUCAAAUUCUGCUUCUUGUUUGCCCACACAAGAUUUUCCUUGGCAUCUGAUGCAGAGCUACAACCAGCCAUCACUGCAACUUGUCCCCAAGUAAGAUAAAUUAUGAAGCUGUCCAUUCUUGGUGCAACAGGUCAGUCUGGUCAGUAUCUGGUCUUGCAGGCACUUGAGGAAGGCCAUGAAGUGACAGCACUUGUUCGGAACAUCACUAAACUGACUAUUCAACAUAAAAAUCUGAAGGUGGUGGAAACAAACAUCUUCUCGGCAGAACAGUUGUCAGAACAUUUGCAAGGCCAAGAUGCUGUAAUUUCCUGCUUAGGCUUCCCUUACAAGAUCUUCUCAGCCACUUCAGGAUACACUGAUUCUAUGAGAGCUCUUGUGGCUGCCAUGAGGCAAUCUGUGAGCUGUAUAAUAGCCAUGACAUCAUGGUACACGUCCCAU